rnacentral:rRNA from 1 species
UACGUAGGGUGCAAGCGUUGUCCGGAAUUAUUGGGCGUAAAGAGCUCGUAGGCGGUCUGUCGCGUCGGCUGUGAAAACCCGGGGCUCAACCCCGGGCCUGCAGUCGAUACGGGCAGACUAGAGUGUGGUAGGGGAGACUGGAAUUCCUGGUGUAGCGGUGAAAUGCGCAGAUAUCAGGAGGAACACCGGUGGCGAAGGCGGGUCUCUGGGCCAUAACUGACACUGAGGAGCGAAAGCGUGGGGAGCGAACAGG